GCCUAAACACUUCAUAGCUCAGUCAGUAGAGCAUGACUCUUAAUCUUAGAGUCGUGGGUUUGAGCCCCACGUUCGGCA